rnacentral:rRNA from 1 species
AACGAACGCUGGCGGCGUGCCUAACACAUGCAAGUCGAACGAGAAAGGAAUCUUCGGAUUCUGAGUAGAGUGGCGCACGGGUGAGUAACACGUGGAUAACCUGCCCUAUGAUCUGGGAUAACUGACCGAAAGGACAGCUAAUACCGGAUAAGCCCACAGAGACUUCGGUCUCAGUGGGAAAAGAUUUAUCGUCAUAGGAUGGGUCCGCGGUCCAUUAGCUAGUUGGUAGGGUAAUGGCCUACCAAGGCUUCGAUGGAUAGCUGGUCUGAGAGGAUGAUCAGCCACACUGGAACUGAGACACGGUCCAGACUCCUACGGGAGGCAGCAGUGGGGAAUUUUGCGCAAUGGGGGAAACCCUGACGCAGCAACGCCGCGUGAAGGAUGAAGGCCUUUGGGUCGUAAACUUCUGUCAGAGGGGAAGAAAUACUCGCAAGAGAGCUGACGGUACCCUCAAAGGAAGCACCGGCUAACUCCG